rnacentral:misc_RNA from 1 species
GCCCAACUCUCACUACUUGUUACUAUUCUUCUUCCUCUUCCUGUAAUAUGUAACAGUUGCUAAUGUUUGUAAUGACAGAAACACCCGCAUGCACAUGUGCAAGCACACACAACACAUUGCUACACCCUCACUUUUAGACAGCAUCUUAUAUAGGAAGAUUGCAAAUGAAUUUGACAUCCCUGAAUGUAAAUUGAGACUAAAUGGUUGUGGAUUCCAUGAAUUUGCGAGGGAUGGCACUUCUGUUUUUCUUAGGGUUGUAUCUCCAACUGUGGCUAACUAAGAAUUGAUUUCUAAGCACUAAUUGAUUGCCAAGCAUAUCUCCUACCUUAUAACGGACAUAAUCAAAAUUUCUUGUUAUCAUCAUAAGCUCAUUGUUUUGGAUAAAAGCAUAGGGACUUGCCACAACAAUCUUUCAGGUUGAACACCAUUACUCAUUUAAUAUGCAUUCCUCUCUAAAUUGCUAGGUGCUUCAAAUUGUUCCAUUCAUCCACUGUCAAUUGCAUGAUCCAAAUACAUACAAGUGCUACACAGACAUUCCAACAAAUCAAUUUUUGCUGGGAGAGAAAACCUCAGCAUUUGAAAGCUUGCUAAAAAUGCAUUUUCUGGAGUGAAAAAUUAUGUAAAUGAUGAGUUCAAUGUCACCCCCUUGUCUUAAUUGUGAUGAGUUUGUUUUGAAAUGGGUCCUUUGCAGUGAAUUUAGAGACAUAUAUGAU